AUUUAGUAUUGUCUAAGCAUUAUUUCCAUAUCCAACCUGCGGAUAGUGCUGUUUUUACCCAAAGUGCAUUAGGGAGCCAAAAUGGCUUGGGCACAAAUAAGUUACUGCAAGGUAAGCAAAACAUGGGAAUUAUAGCAUGUCUGCUAUUCCACCCUAAUGGCCCAUAUCCACACUUACUGUAGUAGCUAAAAGCUAGUCUGUGGUAUCUUAGGCUGCACUUACCAUGAAAGGACUGAAGUAAAAAUUCCUGCCCUCUUUUACUUUGCAGUAAUUUGCUUGUGUAUAUCCAUGCCACUAGAUUGGGUCUUGGGUGUGAUGUGCUUUUGGUACCAUUUGAGGUGGACUUCAAGUUGCCCAGACAAAGUUCUUGUCCACUAAGCUUUUCUAUUUUUGAAAAAUCUAGUUACCAAAGCCUGCAUUUCUGAAAGGGUCUGCAGUAAUGAUAACAAAACCCUCUUUCAUGUACGUAGGUCAACUAAAGCUCAUCUAGGUAGCUUGACUUUGCCAAAGGGUUUGCACGAGCCAGACACCAAGAACUAGUUAUUGGUGAAGUGACAGAUUUUGAUUUGGACCUGAUGAUCUCACAAGGUCCCUUCCAGCCCUAAACUUAAGUGAAUCUGUGAUCAUUCUACUAACUACUUACUGUUCCUUAGAGGAGCUCGUGCAGUACAAUGGACAGCAACUGAAUCCUAACCACUGGCAUGCCAUAAUUGCAGUAUGUAACCUUUAAAAGCUAGGGGGGAAAUCAGACAUAAUGGUUGAUGAUGGGUAGUCAGAUAGUCAUGGUUAAGUGAAACUUAACUAAGUUCAGAAGAGAUGAAGGCGAGUAAUCAGACUGUAGCUUGCUUCCCUUUGCUUACAGGUAAAAUUUUGUAGAGUACUUUUAUAUCUACUUUAAAGGCUGAUAUUCAAAUAACAUAGUGACUGGACAUGCACCAAUAGGUUAAGAAAAAAAAACCCCAAGAGACGCACAACAUUAGGCUGAGACAGUCGUAUUGAAAGAAAAAAGAAAAGAAAAAAGUUUUUUCUUCUUUAUUUCAGGUCCCCUGGCAUUUUUAUCUUGUACUGGUGCUCUAGGCUGAGCCAGCCACCUACGGCAUCUUGAGCAUGAACAGCUUAUCAGAGAAUCAGUUUCUAAUGCUGGUCUUUCAGAGGUCACAGGCAGUUGGUGGAGUUCAGCUACUUCUAUAUGGACUUAUGCUGUGGGGUGUUCUAACAUGGGUAGGCAUCAAGGGAUUUUACUGCCUGUGUGGAAUACUGCUGACCCAGGACUACCCGCUUGCUUCUGAUCAGCACAUAUCAUAUUGCCAGAACCAAUUCAACAUCGCUCUUAGAUGGCUACUGAGGAACCUGCUAUACAUUCAAAUUAAAGCUGGAUAGA